AGAGCGAACGCUGGCGGCAGGCUUAACACAUGCAAGUCGAGCGCCCCGCAAGGGGAGCGGCAGACGGGAGAGUAACACGUGGGAACGUACCCUUCAGUUCGGAACAACCCAGGGAAACUUGGGCUAAUACCGAAUACGUCCGUAAGGAGAAAGAUUUAUCGCUGAAGGAUCGGCCCGCGUCUGAUUAGCUAGUUGGUGAGGUAAUGGCUCACCAAGGCUACGAUCAGUAGCUGGUCUGAGAGGAUGAUCAGCCUCACUGGGACUGAGACACGGCCCAGACUCCUACGGGAGGCAGCAGUGGGGAAUAUUGGACAAUGGGCGCAAGCCUGAUCCAGCCAUGCCGCGUGGAUGAUGAAGGCCUUAGGGUUGUAAAGUCCUUUCGGCGGGGAAGAUAAUGACGGUACCGCAGAGAAGCCCCGGCUAACUUCGCGCCAGCAGCCGC
rnacentral:rRNA from 1 species